rnacentral:rRNA from 1 species
GACGAACGCGGCGGCGUGCUUAACACAUGCAAGUCGAACGAAGAGCGAUGGAAGCUUGCUUCUAUCAAUCUUAGUGGCGAACGGGUGAGUAACGCGUAAUCAACCUGCCCUUCAGAGGGGGACAACAGUUGGAAACGACUGCUAAUACCGCAUACGAUCUAAUCUCGGCAUCGAGGAUAGAUGAAAGGUGGCCUCUACAUGUAAGCUAUCACUGAAGGAGGGGAUUGCGUCUGAUUAGCUAGUUGGAGGGGUAACGGCCCACCAAGGCGAUGAUCAGUAGCCGGUCUGAGAGGAUGAACGGCCACAUUGGGACUGAGACACGGCCCAGACUCCUACGGGAGGCAGCAGUGGGGAAUCUUCCGCAAUGGACGAAAGUCUGACGGAGCAACGCCGCGUGAGUGAUGACGGCCUUCGGGUUGUAAAGCUCUGUUAAUCGGG